AGUGAACGCUGGCGGCAGGCCUAAUACAUGCAAGUCGAACGGCAGCACAGUGGAGCUUGCUCCAUGGGUGGCGAGUGGCGGACGGGUGAGGAAUACAUGGGAAUCUGCCCAGUCGUGGGGGAUAACGUAUGGAAACGUACGCUAAUACCGCAUGCGCCCUUCGGGGGAAAGUCGGGGACCGCAAGGCCUGACGCGAUUGGAUGAGCCCAUGUUCGAUUAGCUAGUUGGCGGGUAACGGCCCACCAAGGCGACGAUCGAUAGCUGGUCUGAGAGGAUGAUCAGCCACACUGGAACUGAGACACGGCCCAGACUCCUACGGGAGGCAGCAGUGGGGAAUUUUGGACAAUGGGCGAAAGCCUGAUCCAGCCAUUCCGCGUGAGUGAAGAAGGCCUUCGGGUUGUAAAGCUCUUUCAGCAGGAACGAAAAGGUGUGGGCUAAUAUCCUGCAUCAAUGACGGUACCUGAAGAAGAAGCACCGGCUAACUACGUG
rnacentral:rRNA from 1 species